rnacentral:rRNA from 1 species
GUGGGGAAUAUUGGACAAUGGGCGAAAGCCUGAUCCAGCCAUGCCGCGUGUGUGAAGAAGGUCUUCGGAUUGUAAAGCACUUUAAGUUGGGAGGAAGGGCAGUAAGUUAAUACCUUGCUGUUUUGACGUUACCAACAGAAUAAGCACCGGCUAACUUCGUGCCAGCAGCCGCGGUAAUACGAAGGGUGCAAGCGUUAAUCGGAAUUACUGGGCGUAAAGCGCGCGUAGGUGGUUCAGCAAGUUGAAGGUGAAAUCCCCGGGCUCAACCUGGGAACUGCCUCCAAAACUACUGAGCUAGAGUACGGUAGAGGGUAGUGGAAUUUCCUGUGUAGCGGUGAAAUGCGUAGAUAUAGGAAGGAACACCAGUGGCGAAGGCGACUACCUGGACUGAUACUGACACUGAGGUGCGAAAGCGUGGGGAGCAAACAGGAUUAGAUACCCGUGUAGUCC